UGCUGUAUUAUGAUUUGUUAAAAAAAAAAACAAUGGGAAUCUCUCUGAAUAAGAGUGAAGGAGAAUCUUUUUCUGAAAUGGCA